rnacentral:RNase_P_RNA from 1 species
UGAGUUGGCUGGGUGACCGCAGUUCGUCUCGCCUUCAGAGAUGAGGCAAAUUGAGGAAGGUCGGGACUCCGCAGGGCAGGGCGCUGGCAGAUAACCAGGCGUCGCGAGACGACGGAAAGUGCAGCAGAGAAUAGACCGCCGAUGGACUAGUUNCGCUAGUCACAGGCAAGGCUGAAACGGUGCGGUAAGAGCGCACCAGCGUGCAAGGUGACUUGCGCGGCUUGUAAACCCCACCCGGAGCAAGGUCAAGCAGGAAUCAGGUGGCCCGCCUUAAGAUUCCGGGUAGACCGCUGAGAUGGAUGGUCACCCACGUGACUUUCGUCACUGGACAGAAUCCCGCCUACAGGCCGACUCACCGC